rnacentral:rRNA from 1 species
GACGAACCGAGCGAACGUUGUUCGGAAUCACUGGGCUUAAAGGGCGCGUAGGCGGAUUCUCAAGUCCGGGGUGAAAUCCCACAGCUCAACUGUGGAACUGCCUCGGAUACUGGGAGUCUCGAGGGUGGCAGGGGUAUGCGGAACUAUCGGUGGAGCGGUGAAAUGCGUUGAUAUCGAUAGGAACUCCGGUGGCGAAGGCGGCAUACUGGUCCACUUCUGACGCUGAGGCGCGAAAGCGUGGGGAGCGAACAGG